rnacentral:pre_miRNA from 1 species
AAUAGGAUAACUGGGUCAAAUGGUGGUUCCAUUCUAAGUUUUCUGAGAAAUCUCUACUGCUUUCCAGAGUGGUUGCACCAAUUUGCAGUCCCACCAGCAAU